UACGUAGGGGGCAAGCGUUGUCCGGAUUUAUUGGGCGUAAAGAGCGUGUAGGCGGCUUUGCAAGUCCGUUGUGAAAACUCGAGGCUCAACCUCGAGACGCCGAUGGAAACCAUCUAGCUAGAGUCCGGAAGAGGAGAGUGGAAUUCCUGGUGUAGCGGUGAAAUGCGCAGAUAUCAGGAAGAACACCCGUGGCUAAGGCGGCUCUCUAGUACGGUACUGACGCUGAGACGCGAAAGCGUGGGGAGCGAACAGG
rnacentral:rRNA from 1 species